rnacentral:rRNA from 1 species
AACGAACGCUGGCGGCGCGCUUAACACAUGCAAGUCGAGCGCCUCACUUCGGUGAGGAGCGGCGAACGGGUGAGUAACACGUGGGUAACCUGCCCUGGAGUCUGGAAUAACUUCGCGAAAGUGGAGCUAAUGCCGGAUGAGCUCCCGAUAGGAGACUAUCGAGAGAAAAGAUUUAUCGCUCCAGGAUGGGCCCGCGGCCCAUCAGCUAGUUGGUGGUGUAAGAGACCACCAAGGCGACGACGGGUAGCUGGUCUGAGAGGACGAUCAGCCACACUGGGACUGAGACACGGCCCAG